GCGGCGGACGGGUGAGUAACACGUGGGCAACCUGCCCUGCAGACUGGGAUAACUUCGGGAAACCGGAGCUAAUACCGGAUAACACCGAAAACCGCAUGGUUUUCGGUUGAAAGGCGGCUUUUAGCUGUCACUGCAGGAUGGGCCCGCGGCGCAUUAGCUAGUUGGUGAGGUAACGGCUCACCAAGGCGACGAUGCGUAGCCGACCUGAGAGGGUGACCGGCCACACUGGGACUGAGACACGGCCCAGACUCCUACGGGAGGCAGCAGUAGGGAAUCUUCCGCAAUGGACGAAAGUCUGACGGAGCAACGCCGCGUGAGCGAAGAAGGUCUUCGGAUCGUAAAGCUCUGUUGUCAGGGAAGAACAAGUACCGUUCGAACAGGGCGGUACCUUGACGGUACCUGACAAGGAAGCCACGGCUAACUACGUGCCACCAGCCGCGGUAAUAC
rnacentral:rRNA from 1 species